CAAUUGGUUGACUUUCUCAUAAACCCACUGUCUACGUCCAUGGCGAAGUGAAAUGAUUUGUCUGAUUAGACAUUGACUUCUUGACUUUUUUUUGGAAUUGUUGUAAACAUUUAUGCACUAUGCACGUGGUCGAAUUCUGGAAAAAAUCUUGUAAUUUGUCUCUAUGAUGUUGAGGGCCAUUAAUGUAAUAAUCCUUCAAAUUGCAUAAUCACCACAACUUAAAAGCAUUUUGAAAUUGCUUCGAACCUUAUAUUCACUUUCCUGCAAAAGAAGCUUAAAAAAAAAAGAAAUAAAAAAGAGAAAUUAGAAAGCAUGCGACUCCUUCUUUUACUUUCUUUCAGUGCUUUCAUGUUACUUGCAGCAUGUGGGUUUACCGAUGAAACUGAUAGGCAAGUCUCAAGUUUCCGAAGGCAAAAGAGAUGUCUUGUCCUCAUGGAAUAACUCGUUCCCACUUUGCAACUGGAAAUGGGUUAUAUGUGGCAGCAACACAAGAGAGUUAUUGGUCUUGAACUUGGAAGAUUGCAACUAGGGGGAGUGAUAUCACCAUCUAUUGGUAAUCUUUCAUUUCUCAUAUCACUUGAUCUUUCUAAUAACUCUUUUGGUGGAACCAUUCCUCAAGAGGUGGGAAAACUGUUUAGGCUUGAAUACUUGUAUAUGAGUUCUAAUGUUCUCAGACGAGGCAUGCCAACCAGUCUGUCUAACUGCUCUAGAUUGUUGGACCUUUAUUUAUAUACAAAUCCUCUUGGUGGAGGUGUGCCUUCAGAGCUAGGUUCACUGAAGAAGCUUGUUGUUUUAGAUAUUGGUCGAAACAACCUAGGGAAAGUCCUGCAUCUUUAGGAAACCUUACAUCACCCUCAUCCAACUUAGCUUGGGAGGUAAUAAUUUUGAAGGAGCUCUGGAUAAUAUAGGCAGAUUGAGUCAAAUGACACGCCUUAUAUUAACGGCGAACAACUUCUCAGGAUCUAUUCCAACAACACGUGCCAAUAUUUUGACUCUCCAAGAGUUGAGAAUGGAGUUCAACAGUCUCACGGGAAGUAUUCCUCCAAGCUUUGGAAAACAACAGAACAUGCAAACCCUAGCACUUCGUGCUAACUAUUUUGGGAGUUACUCUGAUGGGGAUCUUCGGUUUUUCAAUGCCUUGUCAAAUGGUAUGCAUCUACUUAGCUUAAGUGUGGGUUCUAAUAGGCUUGGAGGUGACUUGCCUAGCUCCAUAGCCAAUAUGUCCACAAACCUCACCGAAUUAAGUCCUGGAGGAAAUCACAUCUCUGGAAGUGUUCCUCGUGACAUCAGGAAUCUCAUACACUUACAAACAUCUCAGUUAUAUGGAAAUUUGCUGUCAGGUCCCAUCCCAACUUCUGUAGGGAAGCUUUCAGGAUUGGGGUUAUUAAGUGUUUUUUUCAAAUAGAAUGUCCGGAAAAAAUACCAUCUUCUAUAGGGAACAUCACUCAGUUAGUGAAACUAUAUCUGUCCAACAAUAGUUUUGAAGGAGUCAUUCCUCCAAGUCUAGGUAAAUGUAGUAAUUUGCUAUAUUUUCAUGUUGGAUCUAAUAAGUUGUAUGGGACUAUACCUCGGGAGAUCAUGCAAAUUCAUCCCCUUGUUCGCCUAGAUAUAUCAUGUAAUUCCUUGAUCGGCUCUUGUUGAGAUUGAAUCUUGAUUAAAUAUCCAAGAGAAGAAGAACAAAGAAGAGUAGCUUAGAAAAAGCUACAAAGGAAGAAGAAGAAGCUUGAAGCGCUAGAAACAAAGAAAGAAGAAGAAGAAAUGUGAAGAGCAAGAAAGGAAGAAGAACAAGAAGUCAAGGAAGAAGACUUGGUUGUGUAAGUUUUACACAACAACACGAAUAAAAGUUAAGCUAGUUUAGUUAAGCCAACAAGGAAGAGUGAAGUGUUGGUUUAAGUCUAGAUAGAUAAAGUUGUUAGUAGAGGUAAGGUGUGUGCAGUAGUAGUUAGUGAGAAAAAUACUACAAGUAUGUAUUUGUGCUGAUGUAAGAGAAAAUGUCCAAGUCUAAUUAGAAAAGAGUUGGAGAGAAAGAACAAUGUAGACAAUUAAAGAUAAACUAUCUUCUCUCUACAAGAACAAAGACAAACGUAAAUGAGAGAGGGUAAAGAGAGUGUGAGUUUGUGCUUGUGUUAAAUAUAAAACACAUGUGAGUACAAGAGAGUGAAGGCCAAGCCAAGAGCCAAAAUCUCAACAGCUCUCUACUAAAACAUAUUGGACUACAAGAACACAUUGGUACACUGUGUGUUUUUUCUUUUUUUGAGAAAGGGCUUACUAUCAAAUUAAAAAAUAACAGAAAUUACAAUUCCAGCCAGGCAGUUUUGUUUAUGAGCUAGCAAAGCCCAUUAAUAACCCUUUUACGUAUGAAACCAUACUGCAUAAUAGAAACUCAAAUAAGUGAAAGCCCUAAGACCCAAAUGGUAGUUUUCUGUCUUCUCCUGCAAACUUUUGGAGAGAGGAAGGGACAUGCAGAGCUUUGAUCAACUGAUAAUCUGAGGGAGAGAUCUUCAAGCCAACCAUAUAGAAAACAUAAAAGAGGAUAGCCUUGGUGACUGAUCACGAAGGGCAGCGAUCUUGGAGCGGAUGGUACCAGACACGGAGGAGGUGACUGAAUGAGGAGGGCAGAAGAUUCGGCGGUGCAAGUGGUUGUUCCUUUCUGUCCAGAGCAGAUAUAUCACACAUUGGCAAGCUAGGAUAGAGAGAAGUUUUUGCAGUCUAGGGCAUCGAAGAGCUUGGAGGUCUAAGAGAAUCUGAUCCCAGGACUGAUUGGGGGAGAGAUUACACUUUGCUGCUAUUUCUGUCCAAACAUUCCAAGAAUAAGGGCACUCAAAGAAGAGGUGGUUUCGAGAUUCCGCCAUCGCGUUGCUGAGGAGACAGUUAGGGGCAGAAGGCAACCCCCAAUUUAUUAAUCUAUCUCGCAUCGGGCACCGGUUUAGGACAAAUAGCCACAUGAGAAAGCUAUGUUUAGGAAUCCCCAAGAAGUCCAAACUGUGUUGAACCAAGGAUAAUAAUUGAUAGGAAAGCAUACAGAGAUACAUGUUAAUCUGAUAGAGCCGGAGGGAGGGACCAAGAACCCUUAAUAAAUAAGUCAGGAACAGCAACACUUUUGGGGAUGCCAAGGCGAGAAGAAGGGUUAAGGUUCAGAAACGUCUACAAAUUCCCAAAGGGUGUUCAGUUGUCCAUCCAGAACUGACAGGUUUUUCCAUUCCCUAUCACUGUUUUUAUCCAUGGAAAAGCAACACUUCUCAAUCUUAGCAGUCUGUUUACCAUCCAAGAGUGGUUCUGCUUUAAAGUCCAAAAGUUGGAGACAGAACCAGAGAGAAUCUCCUUGAUGAACCAAGCGACCCAUAUAAAGCCCAAACUGAAGAAGAGCAUCCAGAUAAGCUUCAGAGCACAUGCUUUAUUACAGGAGAGGUUCAAAGUUAGCCAACGUUAGCUACUUUGUACAUAGUGGGACGCCAAGAUAUCUGAUAGGGAGCUCCCCAUGACACAGAUUUGAGUUAUGCUUUAUUUUCUCACUUCUUGUUGGGACAGUCCGCAAGAGAAGAAACAUGUUUUUGAGAUACUGAUUGCCAAACCUGAGCGACUUUGGAAAUCAGAUAGGACGUUCAGUACUCCUUGGAUAGAUUGUGUUGAGCCUUCAGUGAAUAUUAAGAGGUUGUCAGCAAAGCACAAGUGUGUUAUCUUCAACUUUGUACAUUUGUAGUGGUAUCCAAACUUCCCUUCUGCUGUCAUUUUGUCUAGGAGCGUGGAUAAGCAAUUCAUGGUACAAUGUAUGUUUCUCAUAACAAAUUAUCCAGGUAAGUCCCACAAGACUUAGGAAAAUGUCUCUUAAUGGAGAAUCUUUAUUUGAGGGAGAAUUUUUUUUAUAGAGAAAUUCCAGAUAUAAGAGGGUUGGUAGGUCUUAAAAGAGUUGAUUUGUCGAACAAUAUCUCGGGAAGUAUACCUGGAUACUUUUCAAGCUUUCCCUUGUUGGAGUAUCUGAAUCAAUCCAAUAAUAAUUUUGAGGGAAGAGUACCAACAAAAGCAAAAUUUCAGAACUCUAGUUUAGUUUCAGUGUCUGGAAACAACAAUCUAUGUGGAGACAUCAAGGACCUGAAACUAAAGCCAUGCUUUGAGAUAGCACCACCAAUGGACACAGAGCGUCCAUCUCUUUUGAAGAAAGUUGUAAUUGGGUCAGCACUACUAUAAUUUUUAUUUUGUUGUUGGUCAUAACUUCACUUUCUCUAUGUUGGUUCAUAAAAAGAAACAGGAAUCUUCAGACUGAUAAUCCAACUCCUUCUGCCUUGGAGACUUUCCAUGGGAAGAUAAGUUAUAGAGAGAUCAGAACUGCGACCGAUGAUUUCUCUUUGAGUAAUUUGAUUGGGUCAGGCAGUUUUGGUACUGUGUUUAAGGCGUUGCUUCCAACAAUGGACAAAGUUGUAGCAGUGAAAGUUCUAAACAUGGAGAGACGUGGAGCAAAGAAACGAAUUCAGAGCUCUCAUCUACGAGUUCAUAAGGCAUCGUAAUCUUGUUAACCUAUUGACAGCUUUUUCGAGUAUUGAUUACCAAGGAAACGAAUUCAGAGCUCUCAUCUACGAGUUCAUGCCCCACGUGUGGAUAUGUGGCUACAUCGGAAGGAAGUGGAAGAUAUUGGUUGACCCUUAAGAACACUAACACUCUUUGAAAGACUUAAGAUAGUGAUAGAUGUGGCUUCGGUUUUGGAUUAUCUUCAUGUUCAAUGCCUUGAACCUAUAGCUCAUUGUGAUCUUAAACCAAACAACAUCCUUCUAGAUGAUGAUUUCAUUGCCCAUGUAAGCGACUUUGGUCUCGCUCGGCUUCUUCUUAAAUUUGAUGAAGAGUACAUCCUCAAUCAACUAACCUCAGCUGGAGUGAGAGGAACCAUCGGCUAUGCUACACCAGGUACAACUAUUACACAUUUGUAAUUAUUGAAUGAAAAAAAUCCAGUCCUAGUUUUUUCUUAUUACUCCAAAACUGUAUUUGUGAAAUAUCGUGCAUAAUAUGGAAUGAUAGGAAAGCCAUCAAUACAUGGUGAUAGGUGUAGCUUUGGUGUUCUUCUUUUGGAAAUGUUCACUGGAAAAAGACCAACCAGUGAAUUGUUCGAAGGAAACUAUACACUACACAGCUACACCAAGUCAGCGUUGCCAGACCCAACUAUUGGACAUCGUAGACAAAUCAAUGCUUCAUAGCAGUCUCAAAGACAUUUUUCCUCUUGUUGAGUGCUUGACACUUAUUUUGGAGGUGGGACUUAGGUGCUGUGAAGGAUCUCCAACGAACCGCUUGGCAAUGAGUCAAGCCGACAAGCAGCAGAUCUCAGUCCGAGAAAGGUUUUAUAAAUCCAUAAAGUGUUACACGAGAAGAUACGGAUGGUGCAGAUAUUCAUGUACAGUAGAACAUCUAUAAAUUAAUACUCGAUAAAUUAAUAAUCUCUAUAAAUUAAUAAAUUUUGUCGGU